UACGUAGGGGGCUAGCGUUGCUCGGAAUCACUGGGCGUAAAGCGCACGUAGGCGGCUUCUUAAGUCAGGGGUGAAAUCCUGGAGCUCAACUCCAGAACUGCCUUUGAUACUGAGAAGCUUGAGUCCGGGAGAGGUGAGUGGAACUGCGAGUGUAGAGGUGAAAUUCGUAGAUAUUCGCAAGAACACCAGUGGCGAAGGCGGCUCACUGGCCCGGUACUGACGCUGAGGCGCGAAAGCGUGGGUAGCAAACGGG
rnacentral:rRNA from 1 species